GAACCCAAAAACUUUGAUUUCUCGUAAGGUGCCGAACGGGUCAUCAUAGAAUCCCGUCCGAUCCCUAGUCGGCAUAGUUUAUGGUUAAGACUACGACGGUAUCUGAUCGUCUUCGAUCCCCUAACUUUCGUUCCCUGAUUAAUGAAAACAUCCUUGGCGAAUGCUUUCGCAGUAGUUAGUCUUCAGCAAAUCCAAGAAUUUCACCUCUGACAGCUGAAUACUGACGCCCCCGACUAUCCCUAUUAAUCAUUACGGCGGUCCUAGAAACCAACAAAAUAGAACCGCACGUCCUAUUCUAUUAUUCCAUGCUAAUGUAUUCGAGCAAAGGCCUGCUUUGAACACUCUAAUUUUUUCACAGUAAAAGUCCUGGUUCCCCCCACAGCCAGUGAAGGCCAUGAGGUUCCCCAGAAGGAAAGGCCCAGCCGGACCAGUACUCGCGGUGAGGCGGACCGGCCAGCCAGGCCCAAGGUUCAACUACGAGCUUUUUAACUGCAACAACUUUAAUAUACGCUAUUGGAGCUGGAAUUACCGCGGCUGCUGGCACCAGACUUGCCCUCCAAUUGUUCCUCGUUAAGGGAUUUAAAUUGUUCUCAUUCCAAUUACGAGACCCGAAAGAGCCCCGUAUCAGUAUUUAUUGUCACUACCUCCCCGUAUCGGGAUUGGGUAAUUUGCGCGCCUGCUGCCUU
rnacentral:rRNA from 2 species